rnacentral:rRNA from 1 species
GGAUUAGAUACCCUGGUAGUCCACACCGUAAACGAUGGAUACUAGGUGUAGCGGGUAUCGACCCCCGCUGUGCCGAAGCUAACGCAUUAAGUAUCCCGCCUGGGGAGUAUGGUCGCAAGGCUAAAACUCAAAGGAAUUGACGGGGACCCGCACAAGCGGUGGAGGAUGUGGUUUAAUUCGACGCAACGCGAAGAACCUUACCAAGACUUGACAUCCAUGGAAUCUUUAAGAAAUUAGAGAGUGCUCGCAAGAGAACUGUGAGACAGGUGGUGCAUGGCUGUCGUCAGCUCGUGUUG